GAAUUUCCUGCUGAUUUCUCAUCCAGGUAGUAGUAAGGCCUGACCAAAUUCUAGUGGACUCAACUAGGUCCCUGGAAGGGUUGUGUAGUGCCUCAUUUGGCUCCAACAAACUACCUUGUUUAGGACAGCCAGGUUCCUGAUUUUGGGACAAUAACCAGGAGAAGGUGUUGAAGAAUGCUGGGCCUAAGGCAGACUCCUGGGGUACACCACUUCAUACUUCUCUCCAUAAAGAUGUAGUUCUGUUGAGGAGUACAUGCUGAAUGUGGUUUGCCAGCCAGUUACAGAUCCAUUUGGCGGUGAUGCUGUCUAUAUUAUCAAUAAGUAAGCAGUUUAUUCUGGACGUUAACUUUCUCUCCUCAUGAAGGGCUUGCGGAAAAUCACUCUAAACCUUUGGAUGAUUUGAAUCAAGACGUUAAUUUCAAUGUUGAUAAUCUCUACAUUUCACAGAUUUUUAGUAUCUAUGAAUAUUAACAUGUGUGGAGAAGCAAGAAAUGGGGAUCGGAGCACUUUAAAUUCAAAUACUUAAUUGCAAUUGAUUUUGUAACAAGCUUAUUUAUUUAAAUCUAUAUUUAGACUACUUUACUAAUUUGGUGAAUGAAGGACAAUUUUAAAAAAGUAAAACGAUGCCUACUUUUCUCUUUUUUUAUUUUGGAAUGUUGCACUUGUUGCCAUUCUUCUGAUUCAUUUUGAGGAUUUGACUAGUGAUUAAAUGACCUCUCCUAGUCUUCAGCCAGCAAAAUCAGUCCCGCACUGCAGAACUGCUUGAGCCCAGGCCUGAUACUGUGGUUGAGUACCAUGUCAUUUUAUUAAAGGGAUUCUUCA